UGACACACCAGGGAUUCCCUGCUUGCCCCAAGGGCUAGUGAAGCAGGUGUUCUUGAUGAACGCUUGGCCGCUGCUCCUUGUUUUCUGCUAUCACGAACAACUACAUAGAUGGGUGUACCUUUCUCCCCAUCACGUGUGAGGCCAUCUGUCUCUGAAUACUGCUGGCAGUGGGAUAAGCUGAUGUCCACAGUUCUGAUCGAAUCAUGUUCCAAGAUAGAAUUUCGACAAAUGUUCUUUUAAAAAAUCUCCAUAUGGACACUGCUUGCUUUGUAUGACUUGCUCAGUCCCAAAGCUGAACCUGCAGUGAGAGGUGCCUCUGAGAAAGCUGUGACCACCCACAGAAGCCUGUUGAGCUGUUCAUCGUGGGUCCUCAACCUGGGUCAGUUACAAGAGAUAUCCCUCGGAGUGGAAUUGCAGGGUCAUAUGGCAG